rnacentral:lncRNA from 1 species
AUAAUUUAUGUUUAAAGCUUUGUUUUCGUCCACUCACACUUUCUGUUUUGCAACCUCGAGGUCCUAGAUAUCCGAGGUCGAGACCACCAUGUCGAGGCAUCACCACUGUCCGCACUGUAGGAAUUCCUCAUUUAUCCUUCUCUACUUUACUUUUCCCUGGUAGGAAACACCUUCAACAACUCUUGGACUUUGUCAAGGUACAAGAUCAUCCUAGGGUAAGCGUCUACGUCUAAACUUCUGUCUCAAAAUACUGCAGAAAUUCUAUCUCACAAACUCUAGCCACCAUAACUCUUUCUCCUUCUCACACAAGGCUCCG